CCCCUACCCUUUUACCUUGUUAUUGCAUAACUUUCUCCGCGAAACUCUCAACUAUGUCGGUAACCAUCUUCGUACGAUCUCUACCGUGACCUUUUUUAUAAAUUGAAGUUUUCUCUCUUAGAUUUUUGGAGAAGAAGGUUUUCUUGAGAAGAAGAGGGUGGCUAGGGAUUUCUCCAUUUUUUCCAAAUAAUAAAUGUUUUUCUCCUCUUCCUUUCUCUCUCUAAUUCCCCCAUCUUUCUCUUUUUUCUCUUUUUUUUCUUUUCUCUUUUUCCAAAAAAAAUGAUUUUUUUCUUUUACUUAUAAUUUACUACUACUACUAUUAUUAUGACGACGACUACUACUACUAAUAAUAAAUAAUAAUAAUAAUAAAUUUUUUAUUUCCAUUCACACCUCCACUAGCCUUUUUGGUUUUAUC
rnacentral:lncRNA from 1 species